AGCUUUGCGCAGUGGCGAUAUUGUAACCAAUGAUGCACACUCGAGGUGCGAUUAUUGCUAGUUGAAAAAAAAAAAUACAUUAUUUCAAUAUAUCCACAAACAAUAGUUCAAUAUUCCUUGCAGGUAAAAUGAUAC